UACAUAGGGGGCAAGCGUUAUCCGGAAUUACUGGGUGUAAAGGGUGCGUAGGCGGUCAGGAAAGUCAGAUGUGAAAACCCGGGGCUUAACCCCGGGAAUGCAUUUGAAACUUUUUGACUAGAGUACAGGAGAGGUAAGUGGAAUUUCUAGUGUAGCGGUAAAAUGCGUAGAUAUUAGGAAGAACACCAGUGGCGAAGGCGACUUACUGGACUGAAACUGACGCUGAGGCACGAAAGCGUGGGGAGCAAACAGG
rnacentral:rRNA from 1 species